AGUGAACGCUGGCGGUAGGCCUAACACAUGCAAGUCGAACGGCAGCACAGUAAGAGCUUGCUCUUACGGGUGGCGAGUGGCGGACGGGUGAGGAAUACAUCGGAAUCUACAUUUUCGUGGGGGAUAACGUAGGGAAACUUACGCUAAUACCGCAUACGACCUACGGGUGAAAGCAGGGGAUCUUCGGACCUUGCGCGAUUGAAUGAGCCGAUGUCGGAUUAGCUAGUUGGCGGGGUAAAGGCCCACCAAGGCGACGAUCCGUAGCUGGUCUGAGAGGAUGAUCAGCCACACUGGAACUGAGACACGGUCCAGACUCCUACGGGAGGCAGCAGUGGGGAAUAUUGGACAAUGGGCGCAAGCCUGAUCCAGCCAUACCGCGUGGGUGAAGAAGGCCUUCGGGUUGUAAAGCACUUUUGUUGGGGAAGAAAAGCAGCAGGUUAAUACCCCGCUGUUCUGACGGUACCCAAAGAAUAAGCACCGGCUAACUUCGUG
rnacentral:rRNA from 1 species